rnacentral:rRNA from 1 species
AUUGAACGCUGGCGGCAGGCUUAACACAUGCAAGUCGAGCGGAGAUGAGGUGCUUGCACCUUAUCUUAGCGGCGGACGGGUGAGUAAUGCUUAGGAAUCUGCCUAUUAGUGGGGGACAACAUUCCGAAAGGAAUGCUAAUACCGCAUACGCCCUAUGGGGGAAAGCAGGGGAUCUUCGGACCUUGCGCUAAUAGAUGAGCCUAAGUCGGAUUAGCUAGUUGGUGGGGUAAAGGCCUACCAAGGCGACGAUCUGUAGCGGGUCUGAGAGGAUGAGCCGCCACACUGGGACUGGGACACGGCCCAGACUCCUACGGGAGGCAGCAGUGGGGAAUAUUGGACAAUGGGCGGAAGCCUGAUCCAGCCAUGCCGCGUGUGUGAAGAAGGCCUUUUGGUUGUAAAGCACUUUAAGCGAGGAGGAGGCUACCUGGAUUAAUACUCUAGGAUAGUGGACGUUACUCGCAGAAUAAGCACCGGCUAACUCUGUGCCAGCCGCCGCGGUAAUAC